rnacentral:RNase_P_RNA from 1 species
GCGAGUUGGCGUGUGGCUUUCGUUCCCUCUUCGGGAAUGAGGAAACUCCGCCCACAUGUAGAAUUGCAGCCCCUUCAGUGGGGCAAGGCGAGAGCCUUGGCUACAGAGCAGAAACGAAACGUCCACGUGGCAAGUGAAUAUGAGGCAUGCUAAGUUGCCGAGUGAUGCCUUGUGGAAGCGGUGAAACGGCUGUCCUGCAAGUGGAAAGGGCAAACAGUCGCCGAUGAGGCUUCUACCCGAGGGCGCGGGUAGCCCGAUUAGCCGAAUGCCACAAUUAGACAACAGAAGGCGGGUUAUGUCCAACACGC